AUUGAACGCUGGCGGCAUGCUUUACACAUGCAAGUCGAACGGCAGCGCGGGCUUCGGCCUGGCGGCGAGUGGCGAACGGGUGAGUAAUGCAUCGGAACGUGCCCAGUAGUGGGGGAUAGCCCGGCGAAAGCCGGAUUAAUACCGCAUACGACCUGAGGGUGAAAGCGGGGGACCGAAAGGCCUCGCGCUAUUGGAGCGGCCGAUGUCGGAUUAGCUAGUUGGUGGGGUAAAGGCUUACCAAGGCGACGAUCCGUAGCUGGUCUGAGAGGACGACCAGCCACACGGGGACUGAGACACGGCCCAGACUCCUACGGGAGGCAGCAGUGGGGAAUUUUGGACAAUGGGGGCAACCCUGAUCCAGCCAUGCCGCGUGCGGGAAGAAGGCCUUCGGGUUGUAAACCGCUUUUGUUCGGGAAGAAAUCCUCUGGGCUAAUACCCCGGGGGGAUGACGGUACCGGAAGAAUAAGCACCGGCUAACUACGUG
rnacentral:rRNA from 1 species